rnacentral:lncRNA from 1 species
AUGAAAAAGAGGGAGGAGUUUCAAGAGGUCCAUUUGAGGAGGAAGAAUUUUCCAAGUGUGAGGGACAGUCUGGGCAGAAACAUAGAGGCAGAAGAUAAGGGUUUUACAAAAGAGAAAGACUUUCAUACAUGUCUCCUACCUCCUAAUCGUCAUCCUCAGUUGCCGAGAGACUACUACUACUACUACUACUACUACUACCUCCUAACAAAAAAAUUAAUCAAUGAACUCAAGAUGGAGAGAGGCAUAUAUUUUUGGAUAUAUCAAAGGCAAGAAAAAAUUGGAAUUUGCAUGUGUUCACACAUAGCAUGGGAGUAUCAUUGUGUGGUUCAAAGGGAGGCAGAAUAG